rnacentral:misc_RNA from 1 species
GAUGAAGAACGCAGCGAAAUGCGAUAAGUAAUGUGAAUUGCAGAAUUCAGUGAAUCAUCGAAUCUUUGAACGCACAUUGCGCCCGCCAGUAUUAUGGCGGGCAUGCCUGUUCGAGCGUCAUUUCAACCAUCAAGCCCCAGGCUUGUGUUGGGGACCUGCGGCUGCCGCAGGCCCUGAAAACCAGUGGCGGGCUCGCUGUCACACCGGGCGUAGUAGAUUUUAUCUCGCUCAGGGCGUGCUGCGGGUUCCGGCCGUUAAAAAGCCUUUUUUACCCAAGGUUGACCUCGGAUCAGGUAGGAAGACCCGCUGAACUUAAGCAUAUCAAUAAGCGGAGGA